UUGGGUUCAGGUAGCCAUUAAAAUUCUUUAUUCUUAUCAAAUUUGCAUGCUCGGUACUAAAAUUUGCAUGUAAUCACUAGCUUGUCUCUACUAAAUUUUGAUACUGGACAAAUUCUCGUCCCUGCCAUCAAAAUUCAUAAAUCUGGCACCAAUCAAUGCAUAACAAGAAGCGUGCUGACUAGAUCACGUUUGAAAAUUAAUUUCACCAUGGCAAAGGCUGUUCAGUUCACUCUCUACAGAGAGUAAAAAUUUUACUAUGAAGCGAUACAUAAUGUAUUUCAAUCAAUUCCUCGGCGAUUACCCAUUGUGGAAACAUUUUGAUCUCUUAGUACCUGAGAAGGGAAGGAGCAGUUAUUAAUGCCCUCUUUUACUCGAAGCUAUUCCGUUAAAUACGCGAGACGCACACGGUGAAAAGGUCCUUUUUGACCUCAUUAACUUAUGAAACCUCGAUUAUUUAGAUGAAUGACGAAUUAUCUUAAGCCUGCUAUAAAAUAUUUUAUCAGAGUCAUCAAUUAAACGCAGAAUCCGUCGGCCACGUUGAAAGUGCUAUGGUAGGUGCCACGCCGCUUUGAUUUUUCACCCGAGAGUUCAACGCCUAGUUGAUGAGAUAUCGCGCAAACAAUGUUUCUGACACUUAAUGGCCUGCGAGCAAUAAAAUUGGCCACGUCUGGUAUAUUAGGGGGCUUAUCUGUGGCCCGGUUUAAUAGCUCCCAUCGCACUUCUCAUUUAAUACACACACCUCAUGUGCUUUGUAGUUCAUUUUUAUGAUCGCGUUUAUGAAUUGCAAAUUGAAAAUAUUCCUCUAAUGACGCAUCUACCGCUCCGAGUUAUAGAUUUUUUGCGAUUACACACAUAAGACUGCGGCAACAAAAAAUUCGUUAAAGAAAUUUUCAUUAUUAACUCUUCUAAAAUUAAUCCGUAUGGAAAAAACAAUUUAUUAUUUGGUCUUGCCUGAAUAUGAAUGACCCAAUAAAUGCCACCAAACCUCGAAAAUAAUCACCCUAUCCGACUUACAAAUUAAUGAAAACGGGCUGCAGCUGAGUUUAAGGCCACCUACAGCUGAGCGUUUAAGCCAGCGGCUAGUGCGGCUGACAAAAUUUUAGAAGUGAAAUAAUAUAAGCUCUUAACGGUCAAAAUGGGCACUUUUCAAUUUUACUGAAGUUUUGACCAGCGGCGCAGAUUUGCCAAAUUCACGGCGGCUGUUAACUGACCACGAGACCCAAAAAUUUCCGGCUGGUGCGGCGCAGUGCGGCUGACUGAGACCUCUGACAAAAGGAAGCUCAUUUUCGGGAUGGAAUUUAAGAGUCAGAAUUGCCACAUUUAGCAAGGUUUAUCGACUCUGCCAGUUUCACGGAUGAAAAUUUUAAAAAUUUAGACAGUGUCACUGCGAAUUCUUUAUUUCCAUCGUGCAUUUCUAUUCCAUUGCCUUUUAGGCUUGAGAAAUUAAUUUGGUGCCGUUUGGGCGUCGACAAAGCUGUAACUUAAACAGUCCUAAGCUUACACUCUACUUUGCAGGUAGCUGUUGUCACACGCCUUUUUAAUUAAUCUCUUUUGCAGAUCCCCCGCACACACUCUGGUGUUCUUUUCAAACAAGCCACCUACACUUUGGAAAUUUGGCGAAAAGUAAUAAAUUUCAGCAGGCAGCAGCCGGCUGACUAGAUUGCUCUCGCAGCAGGUGUGAUCCGGAUAAUAAAAACGGACAGUGUGAAAAUGUGUCGCGAACGCACCACCUCUCCGUUCUUGUAAUUUAAAAUUGUAUCACCUGUUGCUCGCAAGAGAAGAGAGAUUACAAGCGAGACGACGCACGCCCCUGUGCCAUUGUUUCUCUAGUGCGAAAUAAUAAAUUCAGGCGGCCGGCCGGCGUCGACGUGUCAAUUGCAAUUUACGUACGUUCGUGUCCUUGUCUGCUUUUCUUCUUUCCGAAUGAAUGAAGUUAUCACCUGUGCAUGUUAGCCGUUCGCACAAUUACAAGUCGAUCGGCGAGAAUAACAACAAAAUUUAAGCAGACAGAACAAUAUGAUAAUAAACAACGCGCGCUUGUGUGUGUGGAGGAGCGAGUGAAAUUUCUUGCCUCUUGACACACACUCGCUGGCCUGUUUUGUCUGCCCUGCGAACAUGCAUGCGAUUUUCUUAUUUCUGCACAGCGUCCCUGGCUCGUCGACAGGCCAACAGCUUGUCCGUUUGACCCCCUUUGACUCUGCUGGACGAAAUAUUGCCCUGCUGGCCAACUGCCUGUGCAUUUGCAUUUUUGGUGGAGCGUGUGUUGUUGUGCCAAGCGUAUGUUUAUGUUUGCCUCUCGUGAAUGAAAGUAUAUACUUCUCACUUUCAGGAUCACGCACGGCUUGAGAGUGACGCUGGAUUUACCCACACUAUCAUGUCUACAAAAUUCGUCUGUACUUCAAAAGGGACAUGUACACUUUGAAGCGCACCGCCAUGCGGAUAGCAUUUGCCGCUUGUCCAGCUGCUGUUUGCAAUGUUCGAUUCUUAUCUGGGGAUCAUCAGGGUGGUCGUGCCAACCAAUCAUCCUUGGCGGCUGGUGAUCAUUAAUUCGCACCUCUUGCUCGCGACACAGAAGCUUUUUCCUCUUCCUGCCACCUUUGAAUUGGGUUUCAUUAUGCAUGCGCCACGCGUUCCAUCUUUUGCUGUCACACACUCUCGCUGAUGAAGGUUCUGCUGGUACAUUAGACGCCUGUUACAUAUGAAUUAAGAAAUCUUCGGCAUAUUGAAAUGCCGAUCAUGAUUGAACUCUCUAAAAUACACUCUACUUAUUUUUAGGUAUUAAACUCUAUGUAAUUUAUUGUACUAAUUUAACUCUACGAUUUUGAAAAAACAGGCUAUUUAAUUACCACCAUCUAAAACUAGAAAGUGUCGUCUUUACUUUUUAUUGAUUCACACUUUAUAUAAUAUAAGCCACUCAUACUCAAUUUUAAGAUCAAAAUCUUUAUUUUCAGAUCUUGUCAUGUAGUUAACUGCACUCCAUUGUUUGAUCAAUACUAUAUAAUAUAGACUUGUUUGUGCUUUUUAGCAGCACAUUUUGUUUACUCUCCAAGGUAUUCACCGAAAUCUUUUUUCGAAUUGAGGGUAUGUUUGUAUAAUAUCAUAAAUUCGCUUUGCACUAUACACACACUGCUAAAACAAGGUAACGAUUGUUGACAAGUAAUAACAUUCAGUAAGACAUUACAUUAUUAUCUCACUUUUUAUUUUUAAAGGUGAGAUCAAAUGCCUGUAUAAAAGGAUAGCGCUGAAUUUUUGUACAAGUCAUUUGAGUGUGCUUCACAACAGAGAAGCAACUCUAGUUAGAAUUCAAGAUGUUUCACAAUAUUGCGAGUGUAUUGUUCGUGGUAUGUAAUGCACAUUUGAAUUUUCUUUGAUGGGAGAUUUUGUUUGUAUAUUUUAUUCAGAUAUAUCAUAUAUGUUCUUUCCUUAUACCGAAUCAUAAAAAAUAUGUGAUCAUAUAUUAUAUAUCAUACUUAUAUGCGAAUAAAUUUAAAUGGUUAAAUUUGAUAAAGCUGCGAAAUAAAAGCACACAAACAUUACAUAUUGGAAUUACAGAUUUGCAUUCAUGGAAGCAUAUGUGCACCACAAGAAAGCCGUGAUUUGAAGCUUGCAAUUCCAAAAUCAUCAAACCAACUUGACCUAGUAGAUUAUAUCUCUGUAGAUAGCGGAGUUGACGACGCUGAUAUUACUGACGAAUUUGUGCAAAGCCAGUAUCAAUUACGCAUGAAACGCCAACUAAGACGACCCCCAGCCAAUAUACCAAAUAUUCGUCCAAUUGUACCACAGCAGUCUCCACGUCCCAUUGGGCCACAGCCACUUCCAUAUAGGCCAAAAAUUUGUCGGAAUCAAGGUUCCAGAUUCCAAGAGCAAGCGAAAGAUGGCUACAUCCGUAGAAACAAAAAAUGCUUAUUGAAAACCCGAACUUAAGGCUCGUCUUAGAUCGUAGUCGAUGCAGCCAAACUCGCCAGAGCGCAGCUGAUGUUGCAAAAACUCAGCUUUGUGAUCAGACCCUUGUGCUCGCCCGGAAGGGCCGGAAGCACAGCGUCGUCCACAGAAACGUCGACUGUAACUGAACCUCUCGACCUCAAAGCAUGACAUGUUUAUUAAGAUAAAAUAUCGUAUUUAAAUUAUAUAAAUAUUAAUAUUUUUGUAUAUUUAUUCAAAACGCAACAUGCCACGAAAAGGGUUUCAUUUUCUCUUUAACGUGCAUUUUUAACCACUUUCCUUUACCCCCAAAUAAUCAUAUAUUUAAUUUAAUUAUUUUGUAUAGAAAUAUAGAAAAUUACUGGAAAUUUACGAUGUAUAUUUUUAUUAUUUUUUUUAUAAAAUAGCUACCAAAUUGUGCUAUGGAACU